GCGGCAGGCUAACACAUGCAAGUCGAUCGGUAGAGAGAAGCUUGCUUCUCUUGAGACGCGGCGGACGGGUGAGUAAUGCCUAGGAAUCUGCCUGGUAGUGGGGGAUAACGUUCGGAAACGAACGCUAAUACCGCAUACGUCCUACGGGAGAAAGCAGGGAGACCUUCGGGCCUUGCGCUAUCAGAUGAGCCUAGGUCGGAUUAGACUAGUUGGUGAGGUAAUGGCUCACCAAGGCGCACGAAUCCGCUAACUGGUCUGAGAGGAUGAUCA
rnacentral:rRNA from 1 species